AGUCUGCUCUCUCGUCGCCCCUCAGACAUUUGAUGAGCGAAAACUAAAGAAAAAACAAUAAUGAGCGAAACAUUUUGGGAAACUCAACCUGAACAAAUCUGAAACAAAUAAUAUUCAUUCCAAUUUUUUUUUUUUCGUGAAGGUGAACGAAAUAUUGUGAAAAAAACUACCAUUUCUGAACGAAACAUUGUGAAAAACUACCCAUACUGAACGAAACAAUCUGAAAAAAACUCUAAAUACUGAACGAAACAAUUUGAAAAAAACUACCAAAACCG